AAAGACGGAUAUUAAGGUAUUGAUUAUCUUAAUAAAGACGGACGUUGGAUAGUGUUCCACGUUGUUGUUGAUGGGCUAUAUGCCAAAAUUGUUGAUGUAUAUAUUCAUGAGUUUUGAGUGCAUGCAUCAUGAAUAUUUAGGGAUAUUGGCUUGUCCAAUAAAGAAGGAUAUCGAACUAUAUUUGUUUGAUAAAGAAGGAUAUCAGAGGUGAGAUACUCUGAUAAAGACGAUGGUACCCCAUGCAUUAGAAGUAUCUAGAGGGCAUAACAUGAAUGUGAAGCAUUAGAUUGCAUUAGGGAUUAUGUGUGCAUUUUAUAAUAAAUGAUGUUUGACACAUACUUGGUAAAUGUUGAUUGUUAAUCCGUAUGUGAGGAGCAGAGUCCGUCAUGACUAUAAAAUGAACAGCACAGAGUCCGUCAUGACUAUAAAAUGAACAGCGCAGAGUCCGUCAUGACUAUAAAAUGAACACCGCAGAGUCCGUCAUGACUAUAAAAUGAACAACGCAGGGUCCGUCAUGACCAUAAUCUGAACAAUGU
rnacentral:lncRNA from 1 species